rnacentral:lncRNA from 1 species
GCUUAUAAGAGGCGGCACUGCAAGCCCCUGCAACAAUCUUCUCCUGCAGCCUGCUCGGUCUACCGCACCAAGGGUCUACUCUGCAAGCCGAAAACAUGAAGCUGUUUCUCACCGCCUUCCUGAUCGCCGUGGCAUGCAUGGCAUACGCCGCUGCCUUCCCCAUGCCUGAAGCUGAGCCGAGUUAUGGAUAUGGAGGAUACGGUGGCUACGGAGGAUAUGGAGGAUACGGAGGAGGAUUUGGAGGUUUCGGAGGCGGCGGCUUCGGAGGUGGCGGCUACGGUUAUUAUGGAUAAAUGAAUGGAACUCAAUCAUGAAUGAUCGAUGUGAUAUACAAUGGCAUUAUAGAUUUUUGUUUUUUCAUUCGUUAAUUAGAUGAAAAACUUGGACGUUGCAUUGCACUCACUUUACUCUGAGCCGUCCUUAAUAUAUUCGAGUAAAAAGAACCGCUAAAAAAAUGUUCAGUAUUAUUCACUAUAAUUUGAGAUAAUAAAUUUUUACCAUGAGGCCAAGUAAUACAAUUUGAUAAUUCACAAUAAUAUGAAGCAAUUCACUUUUAGUGUAAGCGAAAGUGUUCAACAGAAUGUGACUGUUUACAUUAGUUAUUGGAACGAAUAAUUCGUUCGAACCCUUCCUUCUGUUAGGGGUCCUCCUCUGAUUUGUACCGCUUCCUAUGUUAUUUUUCAUUCGAAUAAAAUAUGGAAUACACAU